AAAAACCCUAUCCAACUAAUUAUCUCUACUUUUCUAUCAGGUAUCACCAAAUACCAAAACCCUAAUAUUCAAAGUUAUCAGCCGCCACCCUCCUUUACACUCUCUCUCUACAAUGAUCAACAACAAUCUACAACCGUUGUUCUUCUUCUACUCCUUUUCUUUUAGGUCACAACCAGAGGUUGUCAGAUGAUGGUGAAGAUGAUGGGUGUUGGCAGAUCGGCGGCGUGUGGUGGUUUCAGCUGUGGCCGAUGGUCGGAGACGGUGACCGGUGGUAGGUUCCGGUCGUGGUUCACGGUGGUUGAAUGACGUCACGCCGGAGACGGUAGUGAUCGGGAGAACAGAGAGUGUGGUGACGGAAGUAACUUGUUGCGACGGAGAUGGUGGUGAAAGACGGUGGUUUCAGCGGUGGUUGGGGUUUGAGUGAGUGGUUGUCAGAGUUCUAAAGGUGACCGGAGAAGAAACACGAGUUGAAAAGCUUCUCACACACGAUCCGGUACCGAUGCCGGAGAGUCGCCGGCGAUCGGAAAAGGAAGUUGAUGAAGACCGAGAAUGGGAACGGAGAUGAUGAACGAGAUGAUUUUUUAAGAACUGAAACUUGUAAGCUUUAUUGGUGUUUUGUUUUGGGAUGAAGAGGGGUGUUUGCUUUGCUAGAAUGAAUUUGAAUUGAAGGUAGUAGAUGUUUAGGGUGAUUGUUGGUUUGUUGAAUCGAGACAACUGAACAAGAAAAAUACACUUUCUUUU
rnacentral:lncRNA from 1 species